rnacentral:rRNA from 1 species
CGAAAUGGCUACCACAUCCAAGGAUGGCAGCAGGCGCGCAAAUUACCCACUCCCAGCUUGGGGAGGUAGUGACGAAAAAUAACAAUGCGGGACUCUAAGAGGCCCCGUAAUUGGAAUGAGUACACCUUAAAUCGUUUAACGAGUAUCAAUUGGAGGGCAAGUCUGGUGCCAGCAGCCGCGGUAAUUCCAGCUCCAAUAGCGUAUAUUAAAGUUGCUGCAGUUAAAAAGCUCGUAGUUGGAUCUGGGGCUUGAGGUCGCUGUCUAUCGUUUCGGCGAUGACGGUGAUGCUCAGCUCUGCUUGCCGGUGACUGUUGCGGUGUUCUUCACUGAGCGCUGUAGCAGCACGGCACGUUUACUUUGAAAAAAUUAGAGUGCUCAAAGCGUGCUUGUCGCUUGAAUAAUGUUGCAUGGAAUAAUGGAAUAGGACCUCGGUUCUAUUUUGUUGGUUUUCGGAGCUUGAGGUAAUGAUUAAGAGGGACGAACGGGGGCAUUCGUAUUGCGGUGUUAGAGGUGAAAUUCUUGGAUCGCCGCAAGACGGACUACUGCGAAAGCAUUUGCCAAGAACGCUUUCAUUAAUUAAGAACGAAAGUCAGAGGUUCGAUGACGAUCAGACACCGUCCUAGUUCUGACCAUAAACGAUGCCGACCAGCGAUCCGUAGUGUUGCUUUAUGGACCCUACGGGCAGCCUCCGGGAAACCAAAGUAUUUGGGUUCCGGGGGAAGUAUGGUUGCAAAGCUGAAACUUAAAGGAAUUGACGGAAGGGCACACCAGGAGUGGAGCCUGCGGCUUAAUUUGACCCAACACGGGAAAACUCACCCGGUCCGGACACCGUAAGAAUUGACAGACUGAUAGCUCUUUCUUGAUUCGGUGGAUGUGGUGCAUGGCCGUUCUUAGUUGGUGGAGUGAUUUGUCUGGUUAAUUCCGAUAACGAACGAGACUCUAGCCUGCUAAGUAGUGUUGCUAUUGUUAUAUGGUUGACACUUCUUAGAGGGACAAGUGGCAUUUAGCCACGCGAAAUUGAGCAAUAACAGGUCUGUGAUGCCCUUAGAUGUCCGGGGCCGCACGCGCGCUACACUGGAGAAGUCAGCGUGUGUUAUCCAAGUCCGAAAGGACUGGGUAAUCCGUUGAACCUUCUUCGUGCUUGGGACUGUGGCUUGGAACUAUUCCACAUGAACGAGGAAUUCCUAGUAAUUGCAAGUCAUAAGCUUGCGUUGAUUACGUCCCUGCCCUUUGUACACACCGCCCGUCGCUACUACCGAUUGAAUGGUUUAGCAAGGUCCUCGGAUCGUGGCCGUAGGGGCACGCAAGUGUUUCUGCGGUUUGCGAGAAGACGACCAAACUUGAUCAUUUAGAGGAAGUAAAAGUCGUAACAAGGUU